UACGGAGGGGACUAGCGUUGUUCGGAAUUACUGGGCGUAAAGCGCACGUAGGCGGAUUUGUAAGUCAGGGGUGAAAUCCCGGGGCUCAACCCCGGAACUGCCUUUGAUACUGCGAAUCUCGAGUCCGGAAGAGGUGAGUGGAAUUCCUAGUGUAGAGGUGAAAUUCGUAGAUAUUAGGAAGAACACCAGUGGCGAAGGCGGCUCACUGGUCCGGUACUGACGCUGAGGUGCGAAAGCGUGGGGAGCAAACAGG
rnacentral:rRNA from 1 species